rnacentral:rRNA from 1 species
AGAGUUUGAUCCUGGCUCAGGAUGAACGCUGGCGGCGUGCCUAACACAUGCAAGUCGAACGGAGUUCUUAAGGAAUGCGACUUCGGUCAAAUGACUUUUGAACUUAGUGGCGGACGGGUGAGUAACGCGUGAGCAACCUGCCUUUCAGAGGGGGAUAACAUUUGGAAACAGAUGCUAAUACCGCAUAAGAUUACAGUACCGCAUGAUACAGUGAUCAAAGGAGCAAUCCGCUGAAAGAUGGGCUCGCGUCCGAUUAGAUAGUUGGUGAGGUAACGGCUCACCAAGUCGACGAUCGGUAGCCGGACUGAGAGGUUGAACGGCCACAUUGGGACUGAGACACGGCCCAGACUCCUACGGGAGGCAGCAGUGGGGAAUAUUGCACAAUGGGCGAAAGCCUGAUGCAGCAACGCCGCGUGAGGGAAGACGGUUUUCGGAUUGUAAACCUCUGUUUUCGGUGACGAACAAAUGACGGUAACCGAGUAGGAAGCCACGGCUAACUACGUGCCAGCAGCCGCGGUAAUACGUAGGUGGCAAGCGUUAUCCGGAAUUACUGGGUGUAAAGGGAGCGCAGGCGGGAUAGCAAGUCAGCUGUGAAAACUAUGGGCUCAACCCAUAAAUUGCAGUUGAAACUGUUAUUCUUGAGUGGAGUAGAGGCAAGCGGAAUUCCGAGUGUAGCGGUGAAAUGCGUAGAUAUUCGGAGGAACACCAGUGGCGAAGGCGGCUUGCUGGGCUCUAACUGACGCUGAGGCUCGAAAGUGUGGGGAGCAAACAGGAUUAGAUACCCUGGUAGUCCACACUGUAAACG